CCUUGUGGAGAGAAGGCACCUCAUCAGCAAGUACAAACACAUCUAAAUUCAGAGUCCUGAAACAGAAUAUGCUUUCACUUAAUAUAUAUAACUGUUCAAUCAUACAAAAGUGUUAGCAUGUACUUGAUAAAAUAACUGCUAGUACUGUAAAGGAAAGCAAGCAAUUAAAGUUAUCUGCAGGGCAGAGGGAUUUUUCUACCCAUUUUACCCUCGUCGACCAAUGCAUGGAGUGCUGCUCCAAUUAUCGAGGGCAAAG
rnacentral:lncRNA from 1 species